rnacentral:rRNA from 1 species
AUUGAACGCUGGCGGCAUGCUUUACACAUGCAAGUCGAACGGCAGCGCGGGCUUCGGCCUGGCGGCGAGUGGCGAACGGGUGAGUAAUACAUCGGAACGUGCCCAGUAGUGGGGGAUAGCUCGGCGUAAGCCGGAUUAAUACCGCAUACGACCUGAGGGUGAAAGCGGGGGAUCUUCGGACCUCGCGCUAUUGGAGCGGCCGAUGGCAGAUUAGCUAGUUGGUGGGGUAAAGGCCUACCAAGGCGACGAUCUGUAGCUGGUCUGAGAGGACGACCAGCCACACGGGGACUGAGACACGGCCCAGACUCCUACGGGAGGCAGCAGUGGGGAAUUUUGGACAAUGGGCGAAAGCCUGAUCCAGCAAUGCCGCGUGUGUGAUGAAGGCCUUCGGGUUGUAAAGCACUUUUGGCGGGAACGAAAAGGACUGUGCCAAUACCACGGUUCGAUGACGGUACCCGCAGAAUAAGCACCGGCUAACUACGUG